rnacentral:rRNA from 1 species
GACGAACGCUGGCGGCGUGCUUAACACAUGCAAGUCGAACGGAAAGGCCCUGCUUGCAGGGUACUCGAGUGGCGAACGGGUGAGUAACACGUGGGUGAUCUGCCCUGCACUUCGGGAUAAGCUUGGGAAACUGGGUCUAAUACCGGAUAGGAACCAUCUUUAGUGUGGUGGUUGGAAAGUUUUUUCGGUGUAGGAUGAGCUCGCGGCCUAUCAGCUUGUUGGUGGGGUAAUGGCCUACCAAGGCGGCGACGGGUAGCCGGCCUGUGAGGGUGUACGGCCACAUUGGGACUGAGAUACGGCCCAGACUCCUACGGGAGGCAGCAGUGGGGAAUAUUGCACAAUGGGCGCAAGCCUGAUGCAGCGACGCCGCGUGGGGGAUGAAGGCCUUCGGGUUGUAAACUCCUUUCGCUAGGGACGAAGCUUUGUUGUGACGGUACCUAGAUAAGAAGCACCGGCUAACUACGUG